rnacentral:snRNA from 1 species
UUCCAUACCUGGCAGGGGAGAUACCAUGAUCAUGAAGGUAGUUUUCCCAAGGCGAGGCUUAUCCUCUGCACUCCAGAUAUGCUGACCCCUGCCACUUCCCCGAAUGUGGGAAACUCGACUGCAUAAUUUGUGGUAGUGGGGGACUGCGUUUGUGCUUUCCCCUG